rnacentral:rRNA from 1 species
GAUGAACGCUGGCGGCGUGCCUAAUACAUGCAAGUCGAGCGAACGGACGAGAAGCUUGCUUCUCUGAUGUUAGCGGCGGACGGGUGAGUAACACGUGGAUAACCUACCUAUAAGACUGGGAUAACUUCGGGAAACCGGAGCUAAUACCGGAUAAUAUUUUGAACCGCAUGGUUCAAAAGUGAAAGACGGUCUUGCUGUCACUUAUAGAUGGAUCCGCGCUGCAUUAGCUAGUUGGUAAGGUAACGGCUUACCAAGGCAACGAUGCAUAGCCGACCUGAGAGGGUGAUCGGCCACACUGGAACUGAGACACGGUCCAGACUCCUACGGGAGGCAGCAGGAGGGAAUCUUCCGCAAUGGGCGAAAGCCUGACGGAGCAACGCCGCGUGAGUGAUGAAGGUCUUCGGAUCGUAAAACUCUGUUAUUAGGGAAGAACAUAUGUGUAAGUAACUGUGCACAUCUUGACGGGACCUAAUCAGAAAGCCACGGCUAACUACGU